GAAACCAACAGGGAUUGCCCCAGUAGCGGCGAGUGAAGCGGCAAAGGCUCAAAUUUGAAAUCUGGCGCAAGCCCGAGUUGUAAUUUGCAGAGGGUGCUUCGGCCUGCGGCCACGGCUCAAGUGCCCUGGAAAGGGACGCCGCGGAGGGUGAUAGCCCCGUCAAGGGACGUCGGCCCGCGGCCCUGUGUAGCACCCUCGACGAGUCGAGUUGUUUGGGGAUGCAGCUCCAAUCAGGGAGGUAAAUUCCUUCCAAAGCUAAAUACCAGCCGAGGACCGAUAGCGCACAAGUAGAGUGAUCGAAAGAUGAAAAGCACUUUGGAAAGAGAGUCAAACAGUACGUGAAAUUGCUGAGAGGGAAGCGUUUGCGAUCAGACGCGUGGGCGGUCGGCUCACCCCGGCCCUUGUGGCCUGGGGCAUUCCCUCCGCCUGCGAGCCGGCAUCGGCCCGGACGGCGGCACGAGCCGGGCAGGAACGUGACUCCCCCCCGUGGGAGUGAUUAUAGCCCGCCCGGUAUCUACCCACCGCCCGCCCGGGCCGAGGACGGCGUGCCCCUCGGGGUGCAAGGAUGCUGGCGAAAUGGUCGUAAGCGGCCCGUCUUGA
rnacentral:rRNA from 1 species